UACGUAGGUGGCAAGCGUUGUCCGGAUUUACUGGGCGUAAAGAGCGCGCAGGCGGUCGUUCAAGUCGAGUGUGAAAGCCCCCAGCUCAACUGGGGAGGGUCAUUCGAUACUGAUCGACUCGAAGGCAGGAGAGGGAAGUGGAAUUCCCGGUGUAGUGGUGAAAUGCGUAGAUAUCGGGAGGAACACCAGUGGCGAAGGCGACUUCCUGGCCUGUUCUUGACGCUGAGGCGCGAAAGCUAGGGGAGCAAGCGGG
rnacentral:rRNA from 1 species